GCAGGGUGCGAGCGUUAAUCGGAAUUACUGGGCGUAAAGCGUGCGCAGGCGGUGAGCUGUGUCCGAUGUGAAAGCCCCGGGCUUAACCUGGGAAUGGCAUUGGAAACUGGCUCGCUGGAGUGUGGCAAAGGGGGGUGGAAUUCCGCGUGUAGCAGUGAAAUGCGUAAAGAUGCGGAGGAACACCGAUGGCGAAGGCAGCCCCCUGGGCUAACACUGACGCUCAGGCACGAAAGCGGGGGGAGCAAACAGGAUUAGAUACCCUGGUAGUCCACGCCCUAAACCAUGUCAACUGGGUGUUCGGGAAGCGAUUCCUGAGUACCGUAGCUAACGCGUGAAGUUGACCGCCUGGGGAGUACGGCCGCAAGGUUA
rnacentral:rRNA from 1 species